UCGUGUCCCCGGCGCGGCGUGCGUCCCGGCCUUGGGCGCGGGCACCUGCGGGCCCCCCGCCGCUGUACCGAGGCGUCCGGCGGGCAGUGAGUCUGCGAGCUCGGCCUGCCCGGCGGGGAAGGGCGGCGGGGCCUGGGCCUCCGGCCCCGGACUCGGAACCGCCGCUGCAGUUUCACCUGGUUACUGCUCGAGGGGCCCAUUUCCGGCCGUGUGACUGGAUGUUACACCUGGCCUGCCCUCUGAAGGGGAGAAGGCCCCUGACCUGGCCCCGAGGGGGCGGGGCUCUGCCGUCCAAUCUGCCCUUCCCAGUGUGGUCUUGACGCCUCUGACAGCGAGCCCCUGGGGGACCGGUGGACAGGAGAGCCGGCUGGAGGACCUUGGCUGCCACCCAAGCCUUGCACCACCAGGCUGGGGGCUGGCCGGCGGAGCUGGCGUCGGUGACCGUGGGGCCAGGGCCAG